ensembl:lncRNA
GCUGGAUUGGGCAGGAGGAUUGUGGGGGAAGGUGAAUUCUGCCUCUGCAUGGAGCCACCAGCAUGGACACGGUCCACUGCCUGGAGUUUGAUCAGCAGAGCCCUCUCGUCAGCAGGGAGGCCAGGAACUCCCUUGUUCCAGGUGGUGAGGAGGCUCCCCAUCUGUGUAGCAUCCUCUUGUGGAGAAUGAGCUGGGGCUCGCCUCACGCGGGGAGCUUCCGAGCCAGCAAAGAUGGCAAACAGUAAUUGCAGCGAGUCUUUGGGGGAAAUGAAUAAAUGGACUUGUGCAGGAGCGAGUGACAUGUGCUAGAGGCUAGGAUUUACCUGUGACCAGGAGCUGAUCCCAGGACCUCUUGCACUCAAGGGGAGCAUGAUUUCCAGUGUGGGCCGCCUGGAGGAAGAAUGUGUAUGUGAUACACUGCAAGGACCUGGGGAGGACUGCAUGGGUACGGAGACACUGGGCAUGAGCGAAGGCAUCACACAGCACGGUGGAGUGGCGACCUGCACUCUGCGGGGAACGUGGAACUUGUGAGAACGUGGGAACAAUGGAACGUGCAGAGCAAAGCGGUGCGUGCAAGGGAAGCAGCACACCCUGGAUGAACUCGGGUGCAAGAGCCUUGCGCUUCCCUGGUGGCUGAGACAGUGAAGAAUCCGCUUGCCAGGCAGGAGACGCGGGUUCAGUCCUGGAGUCGGGAAGAUCCCCUGGAGAGGGGAAUGGCAAUCCACUCCAGUAUUCUUGCCUGGGGAAUUCCAAGGACGGAGGAG